AACGGUUAAUCACGGGCUGGUUUCACGGGUUCACCGGGUUGGAAUCAAACCAUGUACAGGGCUAGCAUCCUCUCGCCUCGCCUCCCUUUCCCCGCCGCCGCAGCCACGCGCCCGACCCACCUCCGCCUCGCCUGCGCCGCCGCAACACCACCACCUCACCCGCAGGCCGCAGCCAACGCCACCACACCUGGCUUCCCUCCCGAUUCAGACUCCUCCAUGGCCGGCGGAGGGACGAGCUCUCCAUGAAGCCGGCGGAGGGACGAGCUCUCCAUGAAGCCGGCGGCCGAGCUGUUCAAGAAUCCGGCGGCGGGACGAGCUCUCCACGGCCGCCGCCGGUCCAGGUGAAUUUUUCCGACGGAGGUACGAGUGGAUGAGGCGCCCGAUAGUGGGGAACCAGCUGCGCCACGCCACACCAGGUCUCGGCAUCGCCAUCGUCGCCUUCGGGAUCUACCUCAUAGGCGAGGCCGCCUACAACCGCGUCUACCGUCCCUCCGGCGACCACCACCACUAGACGGCCAGUCGGGAUCCGUGGCUCCAAGGUAAAUCCCCCACCCGCUUCCCUAUUUCUUGU
rnacentral:lncRNA from 1 species